ACUGUCGUGUUUGAAAAUGCUCUAGACAAAAAUUUCUCUUAAGGUUUAAAUUUUGACGCGCAGCUCUCUCUCCGAUAGUCUCUCGCGAUCUUUUCAGAAGCCCUCUCUUUCUCAACUCCCUUUCUCGUUCCUGAAACACCAUCUCCAUCGUGCCGUCUUGGUUACCAAUCUCGCCAUACAUGUCACAGAUCUCAGCGUCGAGUUCACUGAGGUCGUCAUAUCCCUUGCGUCCAGGUCACUGAGGUCGCCAUCUUCAUGAGGGCACAUCCAUGAUCUUCGCAAUCUCCUUCAAGGGGCCUCUCUCGAGCCCACUGAGAUCUGCAGGCGACGCUUAUCGGUGGUGGUUAUAGGUUGGAUCGUCGUGGUGUGAUAACGAUUCUGUUAGCCGUCGUGAUUGUGUCCAAGUCUGGCGACAUCUGGUUAAGCUUGGAGUAGUUGUGAAUCCAAUUGAGAAACCAAGGUCAUACUGAAGUUCAUUUGGAUGGAAACGAAACCAAGUUUGGAGUAGUUUUUUUUUUCCUUUUGUUUUCCUUCUCUUUAGUGUUUAGGGCCUUGAAUGAAGUUCUGUUUAAUGUUUGGCACAUCUCCAAUUGCAGGCUUGAAAUACUCUUUGGGUGGGACAUCACGAAAUUGCAGGUAUAACUUCUUUGAAGUAUUGCCUUUUCUUCUUUUUGUCUUGCGGUACUGUUUUUUUUUUUUUCUCUUUCUCUAUCUUAAUAACUUGUGCUGGGCUCCACGAGUAGAUGUCCCAUCACCUCUUUGCUGAUUUAUUGAUUACUUAUACCUUGUGUAUUUGUUUUAUCCUAAAAGUCCUUAUGCGUUUGAAUUAUUCUUCAGUUUUUUUGAACGUCAAUUAUGGUCUUUCACAUUCACUUGAGAGCAAAACUUGCUGGUCUUGACAAUUUUCAGCCAUAUGUAUUGCUCUUCAUCUCCUGAUGAACACGUGAAGGUAAUAGCUUAUCCAAGUAUAUUAUUGUUGUGCUUCUUUUGUGAGAUCAUGCUCUAACUCUUCCUUUUUUAUGCAGAUUUAUAACUUUUUCUUUUGGAGGUUUUCUAUGGUCUUUUCUAUCUGAGUCGUAUGUUUUUUUUUUUGUUGAAAAUUUCUUACCUCCUCUUUUCACCAUCAUUUUAUUUAUAUAUUUUUUUCCUUUUGCAAGUUCUUUAUGGUCUUUUUUAUGCUCAUUUUUACAGGUUUUCUAUGGAAACAUAGUCCAAUGAUAAAAUUUCUCUUUCACCUAAUUUUAUUUGUUUAUAAUCUCUUUUUUCUUUUCUUUCUGUCAUUUUGAUUUAUUUACAGGGAUGAUGGAGGAGACUUCAAUUGUGCAUCAUUUGUAUGUUUGGAUGAGGAAGGCUUGGAUUCGGAGUACGUAGGUCAUGUUAGGAAAAGAUUGUACUACUUAAUUACCAUGUAUCAUUUGAAUAUUUAUAUUUAGUUGGUAGGAAGUAUGCUUGUUGUAGAAUAAGGUUUGGUUAACUAUGUAAUAACUAUUGAAUCUUCAAGUUUUAUGAAAAAUACUAUUUUUGAGUGUAUA